ACGUCAGACUCUGUUGAAAUUGAAUCAAACAGUUUUCAGACUUUCAGUCUUUCCAAAUUCUAAAUUUAUCUAACUGAAAAAGAAACAGACAUCAAAAACAUUGAAAUGUUCAAGUAUAGUUAUCUGUGUGACUUGUUUGGUGAAAAACAUCCAGCCUUGACCAUAUGCCCUAAGGCAGAGUUAUUGGAGGACUCCCUUUCUGAUCAUGACUAUCCAGACUCAGAUAGUCCAUUUCUCACAAUUCCACGAAACAAGAAAUAAGAAUGGCCUAAUACAAUACAAUAUACAAUACAAUAUGUUAAUACUUUAGUGAAUAAUACAUAAUUCCGGUGAGCAGACGACGUCAGACUCUGUUGAAAUUGAAUCAAACAGUUUUCAGACUUUCAGUCUUUCCAAAUUCUAAAUUUAUCUAACUGAAAAAAAAACAGACAUCAAAAACAUUGAAAUGUUCAAGUAUAGUUAUCUGUGUGACUUGUUUGGUGAAAAACAUCCAGCCUUGACCAUAUGCCCUAAGGCAGAGUUAUUGGAGGACUCCCUUUCUGAUCAUGACUAUCCAGACUCAGAUAGUCCAUUUCUCACAAUUCCACGAAACAAGAAAUAAGAAUGGCCUAAUACAAUACAAUAUACAAUACAAUAUGUUAAUACUUUAGUGAAUAAUACAUAAUUCCGGUGAGCAGACGACGUCAGACUCUGUUGAAAUUGAAUCAAACAGUUUUCAGACUUUCAGUCUUUCCAAAUUCUAAAUUUAUCUAACUGAAAAAAAACAGACAUCAAAAACAUUGAAAUGUUCAAGUAUAGUUAUCUGUGUGACUUGUUUGGUGAAAAACAUCCAGCCUUGACCAUAUGCCCUAAGGCAGAGUUAUUGGAGGACUCCCUUUCUGAUCAUGACUAUCCAGACUCAGAUAGUCCAUUUCUCACAAUUC